rnacentral:rRNA from 1 species
AACGAACGCUGGCGGCAUGCCUAACACAUGCAAGUCGAACGAGACCUUCGGGACUAGUGGCGCAUGGGUGCGUAACGCGUGGGAAGCUGCCUUUAGGUUCGGAAUAACACAGAGACAUUUGAGCUAAUACCGGAUGAUGUCUUCGGACAAAAGAUUUAUCGACCUUAUAGGAGCCGGCGUUGGAUUAACCUGUUGGGGGGGUAAGAGCCUACCAAGGCGACGAUCCAUAGCUGGUCUGAGAGGAUGAUCAGCCACACUGGGACUGAGACACGGCCCAGACUCCUACGGGAGGCAGCAGUGGGGAAUAUUGGACAAUGGGCGAAAGCAUGAUCCACCAAUGCCGCGUGAGUGAUGAAGGCCUGAGGGUUGUAAAGCUCUUUUACCCGAGAUGAUAAUGACAGUAUCGGGAGAAUAAGCUCCGGCUAACUCCGUG